rnacentral:rRNA from 1 species
AACCAGACUCCUACGGGAGGCAGCAGUGGGGAAUAUUGCACAAUGGGGGAAACCCUGAUGCAGCGACGCCGCGUGAGCGAUGAAGUAUUUCGGUAUGUAAAGCUCUCUCAGCAGGGAAGAAAAUGACGGUACCUGACUAAGAAGCCCCGGCUAACUACGUGCCAGCAGCCGCGGUAAUACGUAGGGGGCAAGCGUUAUCCGGAUUUACUGGGUGUAAAGGGGGCGCAGACGGCAGCGCAAGCCAGGAGUGAAAGCCCGGGGCCCAACCCCGGGACUGCUCUUGGAACUGCGCGGCUGGAGUGCAGGAGGGGCAGGCGGAAUUCCUGGUGUAGCGGUGAAAUGCGUAGAUAUCAGGAGGAACACCGGUGGCGAAGGCGGCUUACUGGACUGUAACUGACGUUGAGGCUCGAAAGCGUGGGGAGCAAACAGGAUUAGAUACCCCAGUA